UGGGGAAUCUUGGACAAUGGGGGCAACCUUGAUCCAGCCAUGCCGCGUGAGUGAUGAAGGCCUUAGGGUCGUAAAGCUCUUUCGCCUGUGAAGAUAAUGACGGUAGCAGGUAAAGAAACCCCGGCUAACUCCGUGCCAGCAGCCGCGGUAAUACGGAGGGGGUUAGCGUUGUUCGGAAUUACUGGGCGUAAAGCGCACGUAGGCGGACCAGAAAGUUGGGGGUGAAAUCCCGGGGGCUCAACCCCGGAACUGCCUCCAAAACUAUUGGUCUAGAGUUCGAGAGAGGUGAGUGGAAUUCCAAGUGUAGAGGUGAAAUUCGUAGAUAUUUGGAGGAACACCAGUGGCGAAGGCGGCUCACUGGCUCGAUACUGACGCUGAGGUGCGAAAGUGUGGGGAGCAAACAGGAUUAGAUACCCUGGUAGUCCACACCGUAAAACGAUGAAUGCCAGUCGUCGGGUAGCAUGCUAUUCGGUGACACACCUAACGGAUUAAGCAUUCCGCCUGGGGAGUACGGUCGCAAGAUUAAAACUCAAAUGAAUUG
rnacentral:rRNA from 1 species